CGUCGACCGGCGCACGGGUGAGUAACGCGUAUCCAACCUUCCCAUUACUGUGGGAUAACCUGCCGAAAGGCAGACUAAUACCGCAUAGUCUUCGAUGACGGCAUCAGAUUUGAAGUAAAGAUUUAUCGGUAAUGGAUGGGGAUGCGUCUGAUUAGCCUGUUGGCGGGGUAACGGCCCACCAAGGCUACGAUCAGUAGGGGUUCUGAGAGGAAGGUCCCCCACAUUGGAACUGAGACACGGUCCAA
rnacentral:rRNA from 1 species